UACGAAGGGGGCUAGCGUUGCUCGGAAUCACUGGGCGUAAAGCGCACGUAGGCGGAUCUUUAAGUCAGGGGUGAAAUCCCAAGGCUCAACCUUGGAACUGCCUUUGAUACUGGGGAUCUCGAGUCCGGAAGAGGUGAGUGGAACUGCGAGUGUAGAGGUGAAAUUCGUAGAUAUUCGCAAGAGCACCAGUGGCGAAGGCGGCUCACUGGUCCGGUACUGACGCUGAGGUGCGAAAGCGUGGGGAGCAAACAGG
rnacentral:rRNA from 1 species